rnacentral:rRNA from 1 species
GAUUAAGUUAUUAAGGGCGCACGGUGGAUGCCUUGGCACUAGAAGCCGAUGAAGGACGUUACUAACGACGAUAUGCUUUGGGUAGCUGUAAGUAAGCGUUGAUCCAGAGAUUUCCGAAUGGGGGAACCCAGCAUGAGUUAUGUCAUGUUAUCGACAUGUGAAUUUAUAGCAUGUCAGAAGGCAGACCCGGAGAACUGAAACAUCUUAGUACCCGGAGGAAGAGAAAGAAAAAUCGAUUCCCUGAGUAGCGGCGAGCGAAACGGGAAGAGCCCAAACCAACAAGCUUGCUUGUUGGGGUUGUAGGACACUCUAUACGGAGUUACAAAAGAACAUGUUAGACGAAUCAUCUGGAAAGAUGAAUCAAAGAAGGUAAUAAUCCUGUAGUCGAAAACAUAUUCUCUCUUGAGUGGAUCCUGAGUACGACGGAGCACGUGAAAUUCCGUCGGAAUCUGGGAGGACCAUCUCCUAAGGCUAAAUACUCUCUAGUGACCGAUAGUGAACCAGUACCGUGAGGGAAAGGUGAAAAGUACCCCGGAAGGGGAGUGAAAGAGAACUUGAAACCGUGUGCUUACAAGUAGUCAGAGCCCGUUAAUGGGUGAUGGCGUGCCUUUUGUAGAAUGAACCGGCGAGUUACGAUCUGAUGCAAGGUUAAGCAGCAAAUGUGGAGCCGCAGCGAAAGCGAGUCUGAAUAGGGCGUUGAGUAUUUGGUCGUAGACCCGAAACCAGGUGAUCUACCCUUGGUCAGGUUGAAGUUCAGGUAACACUGAAUGGAGGACCGAACCGACUUACGUUGAAAAGUGAGCGGAUGAACUGAGGGUAGCGGAGAAAUUCCAAUCGAACUUGGAGAUAGCUGGUUCUCUCCGAAAUAGCUUUAGGGCUAGCCUCAAGUGAUGAUUAUUGGAGGUAGAGCACUGUUUGGACGAGGGGCCCCUCUCGGGUUACCGAAUUCAGACAAACUCCGAAUGCCAAUUAAUUUAACUUGGGAGUCAGAACAUGGGUGAUAAGGUCCGUGUUCGAAAGGGAAACAGCCCAGACCACCAGCUAAGGUCCCAAAAUAUAUGUUAAGUGGAAAAGGAUGUGGCGUUGCCCAGACAACUAGGAUGUUGGCUUAGAAGCAGCCAUCAUUUAAAGAGUGCGUAAUAGCUCACUAGUCGAGUGACACUGCGCCGAAAAUGUACCGGGGCUAAAAACAUAUUACCGAAGCUGUGGAUUGUCCUUUGGACAAUGGUAGGAGAGCGUUCUAAGGGCGUCGAAGCAUGAUCGCAAGGACAUGUGGAGCGCUUAGAAGUGAGAAUGCCGGUGUGAGUAGCGAAAGACGGGUGAGAAUCCCGUCCACCGAUUGACUAAGGUUUCCAGAGGAAGGCUCGUCCGCUCUGGGUUAGUCGGGUCCUAAGCUGAGGCCGACAGGCGUAGGCGAUGGAUAACAGGUUGAUAUUCCUGUACCACCUAGUAUCGUUUUAAUCGAUGGGGGGACGCAGUAGGAUAGGCGAAGCGUGCUGUUGGAGUGCACGUCCAAGCAGUAAGGCUGAGUGUUAGGCAAAUCCGGCACUCAUAAGGCUGAGCUGUGAUGGGGAGAGGAAAUUGUUUCCUCGAGUCGUUGAUUUCACACUGCCGAGAAAAGCCUCUAGAUAGAUAACAGGUGCCCGUACCGCAAACCGACACAGGUAGUCAAGAUGAGAAUUCUAAGGUGAGCGAGCGAACUCUCGUUAAGGAACUCGGCAAAAUGACCCCGUAACUUCGGGAGAAGGGGUGCUCUUUAGGGUUCACGCCCAGAAGAGCCGCAGUGAAUAGGCCCAAGCGACUGUUUAUCAAAAACACAGGUCUCUGCUAAACCGUAAGGUGAUGUAUAGGGGCUGACGCCUGCCCGGUGCUGGAAGGUUAAGAGGAGUGGUUAGCUUCUGCGAAGCUACGAAUCGAAGCCCCAGUAAACGGCGGCCGUAACUAUAACGGUCCUAAGGUAGCGAAAUUCCUUGUCGGGUAAGUUCCGACCCGCACGAAAGGCGUAACGAUUUGGGCACUGUCUCAACGAGAGACUCGGUGAAAUCAUAGUACCUGUGAAGAUGCAGGUUACCCGCGACAGGACGGAAAGACCCCGUGGAGCUUUACUGUAGCCUGAUAUUGAAAUUCGGCACAGCUUGUACAGGAUAGGUAGGAGCCUUUGAAACGUGAGCGCUAGCUUACGUGGAGGCGUUGGUGGGAUACUACCCUAGCUGUGUUGGCUUUCUAACCCGCACCACUUAUCGUGGUGGGAGACAGUGUCAGGCGGGCAGUUUGACUGGGGCGGUCGCCUCCUAAAAGGUAACGGAGGCGCUCAAAGGUUCCCUCAGAAUGGUUGGAAAUCAUUCAUAGAGUGUAAAGGCAUAAGGGAGCUUGACUGCGAGACCUACAAGUCGAGCAGGGUCGAAAGACGGACUUAGUGAUCCGGUGGUUCCGCAUGGAAGGGCCAUCGCUCAACGGAUAAAAGCUACCCCGGGGAUAACAGGCUUAUCUCCCCCAAGAGUUCACAUCGACGGGGAGGUUUGGCACCUCGAUGUCGGCUCAUCGCAUCCUGGGGCUGUAGUCGGUCCCAAGGGUUGGGCUGUUCGCCCAUUAAAGCGGUACGCGAGCUGGGUUCAGAACGUCGUGAGACAGUUCGGUCCCUAUCCGUCGUGGGCGUAGGAAAUUUGAGAGGAGCUGUCCUUAGUACGAGAGGACCGGGAUGGACAUACCUCUGGUGUACCAGUUGUCGUGCCAACGGCAUAGCUGGGUAGCUAUGUAUGGACGGGAUAAGUGCUGAAAGCAUCUAAGCAUGAAGCCCCCCUCAAGAUGAGAUUUCCCAACUUCGGUUAUAAGAUCCCUCGAAGAUGACGAGGUUAAUAGGUUCGAGGUGGAAGCGUGGUGACACGUGGAGCUGACGAAUACUAAUCGAUCGAAGACUUAAUCAAUUUUUAAAA